AGUGAACGCUGGCGGUAGGCCUAACACAUGCAAGUCGAACGGCAGCACAGUAAGAGCUUGCUCUUACGGGUGGCGAGUGGCGGACGGGUGAGGAAUACAUCGGAAUCUACUUUUUCGUGGGGGAUAACGUAGGGAAACUUACGCUAAUACCGCAUACGACCUACGGGUGAAAGCAGGGGAUCUUCGGACCUUGCGCGAUUGAAUGAGCCGAUGUCGGAUUAGCUAGUUGGCGGGGUAAAGGCCCACCAAGGCGACGAUCCGUAGCUGGUCUGAGAGGAUGAUCAGCCACACUGGAACUGAGACACGGUCCAGACUCCUACGGGAGGCAGCAGUGGGGAAUAUUGGACGAUGGGCGCAAGCCUGAUCCAGCCAUACCGCGUGGGUGAAGAAGGCCUUCGGGUUGUAAAGCCCUUUUGUUGGGAAAGAAAAGCAGCAGGUUAAUACCCCGCUGUUCUGACGGUACCCAAAGAAUAAGCACCGGCUAGCUUCGUG
rnacentral:rRNA from 1 species